rnacentral:rRNA from 1 species
UACGUAGGCAGCGAGCGUUGUUCGGAGUUACUGGGCGUAAAGGGUGUGUAGGCGGUUGUUUUAAGUUUGGUGUGAAAUCUCCCGGCUCAACUGGGAGGGUGCGCCGAAUACUGAAUGACUUGGAGUGCGGGAGAGGUGAGUGGAAUUCCUGGUGUAGCGGUGAAAUGCGUAGAUAUCGGGAAGAACACCCGUGGCGAAGGCGGCUCUCUGGGACGGUACUGACGCUGAGACGCGAAAGCGUGGGGAGCGAACAGG